UGGUUAUAGAGGUAAUAGGGUUAUAGGGUUUAUAGUGGUAUCGUUAUAGGGUUAUAGUGUAAUAAGGGUUAUAGUGGUAAUAAGGGUUAUAGUGGUAAUAAGGGUUAUAGUGUUAAUAAGGGUUAUAGUGGUAAUAAUUGUUACAGUGGUUAUAAGGGUUUAUAGUGGUAUAUUAAUGUUAUAGUGGUUUAUAAGGGUUAUAGUGGUAAUAAUUGUUAUAGUGGUUAAUAAGGGUUAUAGUGGA
rnacentral:lncRNA from 1 species